GAUGAACGCUAGCUACAGGCUUAACACAUGCAAGUCGAGGGCAGCACAGUGUAGCAAUACAUGGGUGGCGACCGGCGCACGGGUGCGUAACGCGUAUCCAACCUUCCCGUUACUCUUGGAUAGCCUUCCGAAAGGGAGAUUAAUACAAGAUGGUAUUCAAAUUCCGCAUGUUAUUUGAAUUAAAGAUUUAUCGGUAACGGAUGGGGAUGCGUGACAUUAGAUAGUAGGCGGGGUAACGGCCCACCUAGUCUACGAUGUCUAGGGGUUCUGAGAGGAAGGUCCCCCACACUGGAACUGAGACACGGUCCAGACUCCUACGGGAGGCAGCAGUGAGGAAUAUUGGUCAAUGGUCGGAAGACUGAACCAGCCAAGUAGCGUGAAGGAUGAAGGUUCUAUGGAUUGUAAACUUCUUUUAUACGGGAAUAAAACCUCCCACGUGUGGGAGCUUGUAUGUACCGUAUGAAUAAGCAUCGGCUAACUCCGUG
rnacentral:rRNA from 1 species